UCUACGGGUGGCAGCAGUGAGGAAUAUUGGUCAAUGGGCGGAAGCCUGAACCAGCCAAGUCGCGUGAGGGAAUAAGGCCCUACGGGUCGUAAACCUCUUUUGCCGGGGAGCAAGGGCGGGGACGUGUCCCGGCCCGGAGAGUACCCGGAGAAAAAGCAUCGGCUAACUCCGUGCCAGCAGCCGCGGUAAACCGGAGGAUGCGAUCGUUAUCCGGUGUCAUUGGGUUUAAAGGGUGCGUAGGCGGGCUUUUAAGUCAGCGGUAAAAAUUCGGGGCACAACCCCGUCCGGCCGUUGAAACUGGGGGCAUUGAGUGGGCGAGAAGAAGGCGGAAUGCGAGGUGUAGCGGUGAAAUGCAUAGAUAUCACGCAGAACCCCGAUUGCGAAGGCAGCCAGCCAAGCCAUGACUGACGCGGAUGCACGAAAGCGUGGGGAUCAAACAGGAGUAGAUACCCGUGUAGUC
rnacentral:rRNA from 1 species